CUCUGCAUCCCUAGAGGAAGAGAGCCCGCCUGGGCGCCCCUGAGCCGCUCCCCAGGGGAGAGAGGAGAUCUCUGUUUACUCAAGACCGAAAGCAGCCGGAUUCAAGGUAUUCCAGACAACUCAGGCCCAUCUGCUACACUUGAUGGAAGAAGGGAUCGUGUAUCUUCUGCAAAGGAGAGCCAGAGAGAGUGCUGCUGGAGACGGGUAACUCAGCAGCAACAUCUCACAGAAACACAGGCAGGAAGGAAUGAUCCACUGGAUGAUGUCGCCCACUUGAAAGAACGAGGGAGAGAAGACAAGGCACACUCUAAGAAAAAAGGCAGACCAUUUCCAACCAGCAACUUUGUGGAAGCAUCAAUUGUCAGUUUGCUAUUCGCUGCGAGAGAAGGGAAUGAGGUCAACAUGUUUAAGCAUCACAGGGGCCUGAAGAUUGACAUUAGUCCCUGACAUUAAAUCAUGAUUUAGAUUCCAUCGCACUGGGCACAGAAUUUCUUCUCUUUGACAUUUUGAGGAAUCCGAUGGGAGAGAAUUCUGAGCGUCGAGUAGCACGUUUCCCAUCCUCUGCUCCUGUCUGAACUGUUAGUGAGAACACCCUUCCAGUCCAAGAAUCAAAAGGAGACCUCACCAACAGCAACACCUUGGGGAGCCCACAGGAGCUGUUGCCACGCUGACAGCAGACUUCUGUUGCCUGAAAACAUUGAGCAGUGACGGAAUCCAGCAGUCUCUUGCCACUUUCUCGGAAGAUACAGAAGGAAAGCUGAGACUGUGCAAGAGGAACCCCAGGAGAGACCCCAACCAGGGCUUCCUCAUCACUGCCUUCAUCUAGCUGCUGGCCGCACUCUCAACUACAGACACGCUCCAGUUGCCUGGCUCCUCCCGCUCUCGAAAUCUUCCUUGUCAGGCUGUGCAUCCUGGUUCUGACUGCCUCCUCCAAGAGCCAGGACCAGUGACAGACAACUCCUCCUAAGUCAAGUGGCCAAGGCCUCUGGAGGGUUUCCCUUCCUUUUUGUCAUCUUUGAGGACCCCUUCUCCCUGCCAGUAGAACAACACUCUGUCACGACGAUGAUUGCAUUUGGCUCUUCUGCUGCUUAGUGUGAAAAAGGGAGAUGGUCUCAUGGGAAAAGCACUCGCUGCACAAGCUCAGGUCCCCAGCACUCCGUGUAAAAGGCUGGACUCGGUGGCAGAGGUGUGGCUGGGAUACAGAGUGAACACUUACAGACCUCGGGAGCUCACAGGUCUUGAUAAGCAAAAUGGACAACACUAGCUCCAAAAUGCAUCUGAAUAAACACAGAGAAACAUACA
rnacentral:lncRNA from 1 species